rfam:Rattus norvegicus chromosome 1, whole genome shotgun sequence.
GGGAAACAGGAGCUGGGCUUGGGAGAAGAGCCAUCCCAAGCCCAAGACCAAGUAGGCUCC